UGACAAUAAUAUUCGUCUGAU
rnacentral:piRNA from 1 species